AGGACCCGGCAGCCUCAAGGAUCAACACAGGAGAAACUGUAGUUCUUCUACCUUGGCUGGGCAAGCUUUUCUUCUUUUAUUAACCUUGGUCAAAGGAUCAGAGCUGAGACCGAACAAGGGAAGGGAUUUGGCAGACAGAAGAUGCCUGGUGCCAGAGCCAGCAGACACUUGCUCUAUAAGAGAAGGCGUGCAGCUUGUGUCAAUCAGCUUCAAGCAACAGCAGAAAAAUCCAAAGAACUCCAAGAGAAAGGAAAUAAAGACCCGAGCA